UUCCAGGUAUUGGAGCGGGUCAGGUGUAUCAUUUAGUCCCCCAAAUGUCGGAAAUUGUAGUUUUAUAGGACUCUUACCCAUGACUCUGUUCUUUACUUCUCCAAGAAUGGUGGAUCCACCUGGUGACCCAAAAUUGACAUCGGCCAUGCCAGGCUGCACGGUGGAUUGCAAUCUGGGGCGGUGUGGAAUGAGUAGGGGCUUUUCCCCUUGUAAACCCUCAGAGGUUUUCCCGCUUGCAGGGGUAAUGGUGGUGGUAACUCUGGAUGCUGUUAAUUCCUCUGACAGUGAAUGCAUCGUAUUUUUGCAGUGGGACAGCUCCUCCUGCAGGUGAGCUACUGCACCAGACAUCGGGGUAAAAACGGAGAAAAGAUCCUUCAGCAGUUCCUGCCGGUGCUGAUGUUGUUCCUCCACAAUUUCCCGAAGGUGUUUCCUAAUCCCAUAGCCAGAAUGUGUCUCCUCUAAGGCGGAAAUUUCAGGCUGCGGUCCUCCGUGACUUUCGUCUGUUUGGACGGCUUUUUGCGGAGUUAAGGGAUGAGCAAGCUCAGAAAACAUAGUGAGGUCCAUGUCCAACAGAGUAUAUGUUGUAAGAGGUAAUUCCUGGGCAGGCACGCCAGUGACAAUAGCCAGUGGUGACUCUGCAGAUCCUCCUUCCAUUUCACACCACAAUGACUCUGAGUUAGCAGCCAUUUUGUUUGGAUUCUUGUACCAGAAAAUAAAAAAGUUUUAUCUUCA